GAACCAACUGCGACAUCAAACGCAUUCGAUGUCCUUUUCGACGCCCUCGAAGAAGAAUACUUGCGAUCUACCAACAACCAGGAAUAUCAGGCCGAACUGCUAGAGAUAUGUAUGUAGCUCGAGAAAUGUCAAAAGUUGAGAAGGAGCGAAACAAGGCCCAGAUUGCGAUACUCGAGCAGAUG